UACCAGCACCCCGAGUGGUCGGGACGAUUAUUGGGCCUAAAGCAUCCGUAGCCGGCCUUACAAGUCCCUCUGAUUCAAAUCCAGCUGCUUAACAGAUGGGCUGCGGAGGAUACUAUAAGACUAGGAGGCAGGAGAGGCAAGCGGUACUCAGUGGGUAGGGGUAAAAAUCCGUUGAUCCAUUGAAGACCACCAGUGGCGAAGGCGGCUUGCCAGAAUGCGCUCGACGGUGAGGGAUGAAAGCUGGGGGAGCAACCGG
rnacentral:rRNA from 1 species